AGAAAGCUACUAAAUUCCUUGCUACAUCCAU
rnacentral:piRNA from 1 species